AGAGUUUGAUCCUGGCUCAGGAUGAACGCUAGCGGGAGGCUUAACACAUGCAAGUCGAGGGGCAGCGCGAAGUAGCGAUAUUUUGGCGGCGACCGGCGCACGGGUGAGUAACGCGUAUGCAACCUACCCCGUAUAGGGGGAUAACCCGGGGAAAUCCGGACUAAUACCCCAUGAUGACCGAUACGGGCAUCCGUUUCGGUCCAAAGCGGCGACGCGGUACGGGACGGGCAUGCGUAACAUUAGCUAGUUGGUGGGGCGACGGCCCACCAAGGCGACGAUGUUUAGGGGACCUGAGAGGGUGGACCCCCACACUGGUACUGAGACACGGACCAGACUCCUACGGGAGGCAGCAGUGAGGAAUAUUGGUCAAUGGGCGAGAGCCUGAACCAGCCAUCCCGCGUGGAGGAAGACGGCGCUAAGCGUUGUAAACUUCUUUUCAAGGGGAAGAAUUGUCCCGACGUGUCGGGUCUUGCCGGUACCCUUGGAACAAGCAUCGGCUAACUCCGUGCCAACAGCCGCGGUAAUACGGAGGAUGCGAGCGUUAUCCGGAUUUAUUGGGUUUAAAGGGUGCGUAGGCGGGUCGAUAAGUCAGCGGUGAAAACCCAUGGCUCAACCAUGGAAUUGCCGUUGAAACUGUUGGUCUUGAAUAUGGUCAGGGUAGGCGGAAUGCGUAAUGUAGCGGUGAAAUGCUUAGAUAUUACGCAGAACACCGAUCGCGAAGGCAGCUUGCUGGGCCAGUAUUGACGCUGAGGCACGAAAGCGUGGGUAGCGAACAGGAUUAGAUACCCUGGUAGUCCACGCCGUAAACUAUGAUCACUCGCUGUUGGCGACACACUGUCAGCGGCCAAGCGAAAGCGUUAAGUGAUCCACCUGGGGAGUACGGCCGCAAGGCUGAAACUCAAAUGAAUUGACGG
rnacentral:rRNA from 1 species